rnacentral:piRNA from 1 species
UAGUAAAGCAAGCCUGUCUGCCGUUU